CAGCCGCCGCGGUAAAACAGAGGGUGCGAGCGUUAAUCGGAUUUACUGGGCGUAAAGCGUGCGUAGGCGGCUUCUUAAGUCGGAUGUGAAAUCCCUGAGCUUAACUUAGGAAUUGCAUUCGAUACUGGGAAGCUAGAGUAUGGGAGAGGAUGGUAGAAUUCCAGGUGUAGCGGUGAAAUGCGUAGAGAUCUGGAGGAAUACCGAUGGCGAAGGCAGCCAUCUGGCCUAAUACUGAAGCUGAGGUACGAAAGCAUGGGGAGCAAACAGGAUUAGAUACCCGCGUAGUCCCUGUCUCUUAUAC
rnacentral:rRNA from 1 species